rnacentral:lncRNA from 1 species
UUUUUUUUUGCGGUUUUUUUUUCCUAUUCGGCCCAAACUUCUUCAAUCGUACGCCAACCUAUGUCGCCUCUCUUUCUCUGCCCGCAUCCCACCCCGCCGAUUCGAUCCCUCCCCUGCGUUUUCGAUCCCGUCACUUCGCUCCCGCCCCUGUCCGCCGCUUCGAUCCCGCUCCCGUCUCUUCGAUCCCGUCUAUAAUCCCGUCUAUUGUUCCUUAUGCCGCUUCGAUCCUAUUCCCGUCCAUUCGAUCUCGUUCCCGUCCCUUCGAUCCUUUAUGUUGCCC